rnacentral:rRNA from 1 species
UACGUAGGGGGCAAGCGUUGUCCGGAAUUAUUGGGCGUAAAGAGCUCGUAGGCGGUUUGUCGCGUCUGCUGUGAAAGUCCGAGGCUCAACCUCGGAUCUGCAGUGGGUACGGGCAGACUAGAGUGUGGUAGGCGAGUGGAAUUCCUGGUGUAGCGGUGGAAUGCGCAGAUAUCAGGAGGAACACCAAUAGCGAAGGCAGCUCGCUGGGACGAUACUGACGCUAAGGCGCGAAAGCGUGGGGAGCGAACAGG